AUUGAACGCUGGCGGCAGGCCUAACACAUGCAAGUCGAGCGAGCGGCGGACGGGUGAGUAAUGUCUGGGAAACUGCCUGCUGGAGGGGGAUAACUACUGGAAACGGUAGCUAAUACCGCAUACCCUCAGAUGUGCCCAGAUGGGAUUAGCUUGUAGGUGGGGUAACGGCUCACCUAGGCGACGAUCCCUAGCUGGUCGGAGAGGAUGACCAGCAACACUGGAGCUGAGAAACGGUCCAGACGCCUACGGGAGGCAGCAGUGGGGAAUAUUGCACAAUGGGCGCAAGCCUGAUGCAGCCAUGCCGCGUGUGUGAAGAAGGCCUUCGGGUUGUAAAGCACGUUCAGCGGGGAGGCGGUACCCGCAGAAGAAGCACCGGCUAACUCCGUGCCAGCAGCCGCGGUAAUAC
rnacentral:rRNA from 1 species